rnacentral:rRNA from 1 species
AGCGAGAGUGAGUUUACCCGUUGAAUAAGCNNCCGGCUAACUACGUGCCAGCAGCCGCGGUAAUACGUAGGGUGCAAGCGUUAUCCGGAAUUAUUGGGCGUAAAGGGCUCGUAGGCGGUUCGUCGCGUCCGGUGUGAAAGUCCAUCGCUUAACGGUGGAUCCGCGCCGGGUACGGGCGGGCUUGAGUGCGGUAGGGGAGACUGGAAUUCCCGGUGUAACGGUGGAAUGUGUAGAUAUCGGGAAGAACACCAAUGGCGAAGGCAGGUCUCUGGGCCGUUACUGACGCUGAGGAGCGAAAGCGUGGGGAGCGAACAGGAUUAGAUACCCUGGUAGUCCACGCCGUAAACGGUGGAUGCUGGAUGUGGGGCCCGUUCCACGGGUUCCGUGUCGGAGCUAACGCGUUAAGCAUCCCGCCUGGGGAGUACGGCCGCAAGGCUAAAACUCAAAGAAAUUGACGGGGGCCCGCACAAGCGGCGGAGCAUGCGGAUUAAUUCGAUGCAACGCGAAGAACCUUACCUGGGCUUGACAUGUUCCCGACGGUCGUAGAGAUACGGCUUCCCUUCGGGGCGGGUUCACAGGUGGUGCAUGGUCGUCGUCAGCUCGUGUCGUGAGAUGUUGGGUUAAGUCCCGCAACGAGCGCAACCCUCGCCCCGUGUUGCCAGCGGAUUAUGCCGGGAACUCACGGGGGACCGCCGGGGUUAACUCGGAGGAAGGUGGGGAUGACGUCAGAUCAUCAUGCCCCUUACGUCCAGGGCUUCACGCAUGCUACAAUGGCCGGUACAACGGGAUGCGACGCGGCGACGCGGAGCGGAUCCCUGAAAACCGGUCUCAGUUCGGAUCGCAGUCUGCAACUCGACUGCGUGAAGGCGGAGUCGCUAGUAAUCGCGAAUCAGCAACGUCGCGGUGAAUGCGUUCCCGGGCCUUGUACACACCGCCCGUCAAGUCAUGAAAGUGGGCAGCACCCGAAGCCGGUGGCCUAACCCCUUGUGGGANGGAGCCGUCUNAG